AACGAACGCUGGCGGCAUGCCUAACACAUGCAAGUCGAACGAGACCUUCGGGUCUAGUGGCGCACGGGUGCGUAACGCGUGGGAACCUGCCCUUAGGUUCGGAAUAACUCCCCGAAAGGGGUGCUAAUACCGGAUAAUGUCUUCGGACCAAAGAUUUAUCGCCGUUGGAUGGGCCCGCGUUGGAUUAGCUAGUUGGUAGGGUAAAAGCCUACCAAGGCGACGAUCCAUAGCUGGUCUGAGAGGAUGAUCAGCCACACUGGGACUGAGACACGGCCCAGACUCCUACGGGAGGCAGCAGUGGGGAAUAUUGGAAAAUGGGCGAAAGCCUGAUCCAGCAAUGCCGCGUGAGUGAUGAAGGCCUUAGGGUUGUAAAGCUCUUUUACCCGGGAUGAUAAUGACAGUACCGGGAGAAUAAGCUCCGGCUAACUCCGUG
rnacentral:rRNA from 1 species